GACGAACGCUGGCGGCGUGCUUAACACAUGCAAGUCGAACGAAGUGGCGAACGGGUGAGUAACGCGUAAUCAACCUGCCCUUCAGAGGGGGACAACAGUUGGAAACGACUGCUAAUCCCGCAUAGUGAAGGAGGGGAUGGCGUCGGAUUAGCUAGUUGGAGGGGUAACGGCCCACCAAGGCGUUGGUCAGUAGCCGGGCUGAGAGGAUGAACGGCCACAAUGGGACUGGGACACCGCCCAGACUCCUACGGGAGGCAGCAGGUGGGAAUCUUCCGCCAUGGGGGAAAGUCUGACGGAGCAACGCCGCGUGAGUGAUGACGGGCUUCGGGUUGUAAAGCUCUUUUAAGCGGGACGCGGUACCGGAAUAGAAAGCCACGGCUAACUACGUGCCAGCAGCCGCGGUAAUUC
rnacentral:rRNA from 1 species